GUCAUCAAGAGAGAGGGUACAGGCACAGAGACACCCAUGAUUGGGGACCGGGUCUUUGUCCACUACACUGGCUGGCUAUUAGAUGGCACAAAGUUUGACUCCAGUCUGGAUCGCAAGGACAAAUUCUCCUUUGACCUGGGAAAAGGGGAGGUCAUCAAGGCUUGGGACAUUGCUGUGGCAACCAUGAAAGUGGGGGAAGUCUGCCAUAUCACCUGCAAGCCGGAAUAUGCCUAUGGUUCAGCGGGCAGCCCCCCAAAGAUCCCCCCCAACGCCACGCUUGUAUUCGAGGUAGAGCUGUUUGAGUUCAAAGGAGAAGAUCUUACAGAAGAUGAAGAUGGUGGGAUCAUCCGCAGAAUACGGACUCGUGGUGAAGGCUAUGCCAGACCCAAUGAUGGUGCCAUGGUAGAAGUGGCACUGGAAGGCUACUAUAAGGACCAGCUCUUUGACCAGCGGGAGCUCCGCUUUGAAGUCGGCGAAGGGGAAAGCCUAGAUCUGCCCUGUGGGCUGGAGUCGGCCAUUCAGCGAAUGGAAAAAGGCGAACGUUCCAUUGUAUACCUCAAACCUAGCUAUGCUUUUGGCAGUGUUGGGAAGGAAAAGUUUCAGAUCCCACCACAUGCUGAACUGAGGUAUGAAGUCCAUCUGAAGAGUUUCGAGAAGGCCAAGGAAUCUUGGGAGAUGAACUCUGAGGAAAAGCUGGAGCAGAGCAACAUAGUGAAAGAGAGGGGCACUGUAUACUUCAAGGAAGGCAAGUACAAGCAAGCUUUGCUGCAGUACAAGAAGAUUGUGUCUUGGCUAGAAUACGAGUCUAGUUUUUCCGGUGAGGAAAUGCAAAAGGUCCAUGCCCUUCGACUGGCCUCACACCUCAAUCUGGCCAUGUGUCACCUGAAACUGCAGGCCUUCUCAGCUGCCAUCGAAAGCUGUAACAAGGCCCUGGAGCUGGACAGCAACAAUGAGAAGGGCCUGUUCCGCCGGGGAGAGGCACACCUGGCCGUGAAUGACUUUGACCUUGCACGAGCUGACUUCCAAAAGGUCCUGCAGCUCUAUCCAAGCAACAAAGCCGCCAAGGCCCAGCUGGCGGUGUGCCAGCAGCGGACCCGCAGGCAGCUUGCCCGGGAGAAGAGGCUCUAUGCUAACAUGUUUGAGAGGCUGGCUGAGGAGGAGCAGAAGUGUCCCUAACACCAUCCAGAAGAAACAGAUUACAGAACGUACCACCUUUCUAGUAGCCACAUUUAAAAGGCCAAGGCAGAGGUGGCUGCAGGAGACCAUCCCACUGACACAGAGAUGAAGGGUGAGCCGAACAAUAUGGCAGGGAAUCAGUCUCAAGUAGAGACGGAAGCCUAGCCUGCCUCUCUGCACCUGCCCACCCCUGCGGCUGCCUGCCUCCCUGCUCCCUUCCCUACUCCACCCUGUUAGUUUUGUAAAAACUGAAGAAUUUUGAGUGAAUUAGACCUUUAUUUUUCUAUCUGUUUGGAUGAUGGUUUUGGGGGAGGGAGAAGAGCAGGCUGGGGGUGAACUGGGGGAUAGUUGUAGAUGGUGUCAACCCUCUUUCCUUCCCCAUUACACACGAGUGUGCACCCUUCCACACAUAACGCAUCAGAAGGUUAAUUUAUUUCUCCCUCCCUCUGUUAGCUCCAUGUUUCAAGUGGUAGAAGUGGGUGUGAUAGGGAUGGGGUCUGAUAAGAAGCCAGGGUGGGGAAGUUGUCCCCUGGGCAGACAUUUUCCUCGUAUCUUCCCUCUCUGGUUGUUACCCAAACCUGCAGUCUCCAUGCAGAUGCUAGGGGCAUGGGGUAAACCACUGUGUGUCCAUUGCCUCCCUUGCCCUGCUUUCCUGAGAUGGUACCCCUGAUAAUCCUCUGGUAUUUCGGUGAUCACCUCUAGACAGCACCUUCCAGUAUCUCCGCUCCUAUUGGUUUCCCUCGUCCAGGUUGUCCUUGUCCCCAUCCCCUCAGCCUCUUUAAUGCACGCUGAAGGUCCAGGCACACCUCAAGUCCUGUGCUUGAGCAAUAAAGUGGAAACAAAAUGUG